rnacentral:rRNA from 1 species
GACGAACGCUGGCGGCGUGCUUAACACAUGCAAGUCGAACGGAAAGGCCCUGCUUUUGUGGGGUGCUCGAGUGGCGAACGGGUGAGUAACACGUGAGUAACCUGCCAUUGACUUUGGGAUAACUUCAGGAAACUGGGGCUAAUACCGGAUAGGAGCUCCUGCUGCAUGGUGGGGGUUGGAAAGUUUCGGCGGUUGGGGAUGGACUCGCGGCUUAUCAGCUUGUUGGUGGGGUAGUGGCUUACCAAGGCUUUGACGGGUAGCCGGCCUGAGAGGGUGACCGGCCACAUUGGGACUGAGAUACGGCCCAGACUACUACGGGAGGCAGCAGUGGGGAAUAUUGCACAAUGGGCGGAAGCCUGAUGCAGCAACGCCGCGUGCGGGAUGACGGCCUUCGGGUUGUAAACCGCUUUCGCCUGUGACGAAGCGUGAGUGACGGUAAUGGGUAAAGAAGCACCGGCUAACUACGUG